AGUCUUGUCUGUCCUUAUCAGAGUUGGCGGUUUUAGAUUAACUGAUUCUAUCACAGCCAGCUUUGAUGAGCACAGUUGAGAUU